GAUGAACGCUGGCGGCGUGCCUAAUACAUGCAAGUCGAGCGAACAGACGAGGAGCUUGCUCCUCUGACGUUAGCGGCGGACGGGUGAGUAACACGUGGAUAACCUACCUAUAAGACUGGGAUAACUUCGGGAAACCGGCGCUAAUACCGGAUAAUAUAUUGAACCGCAUGGUUCAAUAGUGAAAGACGGUUUUGCUGUCACUUAUAGAUGGAUCCGCGCCGCAUUAGCUAGUUGGUAAGGUAACGGCUUACCAAGGCAACGAUGCGUAGCCGACCGGAGAGGGUGAUAGGCCACCCGGGAACUGAGACACGGUCCAGACUCCUGCGGGAGGCAGCAGUAGGGAAUCUUCCGCAAUGGGCGCAAGCCUGACGGAGCAACGCCGCGUGAGUGAUGAAGGUCUUCGGAUCGUAAAACUCUGUUAUUAGGGAAGAACAAAUGUGUAAGUAACUAUGCACGUCUUGACGGUACCUAAUCAGAAAGCUACGGCUAACUACGUG
rnacentral:rRNA from 1 species